rnacentral:rRNA from 1 species
GUGGGGAAUUUUGGACAAUGGGCGAAAGCCUGAUCCAGCCAUGCCGCGUGUGUGAAGAAGGUCUUCGGAUUGUAAAGCACUUUAAGUUGGGAGGAAGGGCAGUAAGUUAAUACCUUGCUGUUUUGACGUUACCGACAGAAUAAGCACCGGCUAACUUCGUGCCAGCAGCCGCGGUAAUACGAAGGGUGCAAGCGUUAAUCGGAAUUACUGGGCGUAAAGCGCGCGUAGGUGGUUUUGUAAGUUGGAGGUGAAAUCCCCGGGCUCAACCUGGGAACUGCAUCCAAAACUGCAUGACUAGAGUACGGUAGAGGGUAGUGGAAUUUCCUGUGUAGCGGUGAAAUGCGUAGAUAUAGGAAGGAACACCAGUGGCGAAGGCGACUACCUGGACUGAUACUGACACUGAGGUGCGAAAGCAUGGGGAGCAAACAGGAUUAGAUACCCGAGUAGUCC